rnacentral:lncRNA from 1 species
UAUUAUUAUAUGAAAACUCAGCAUAAGGUAGACUCUUGUCACAACUACUACCAUGCUGAAGGGCGCAAGCUCUCAACAUGUCUUCCAAUACUUGAUUAGCCCUUUUAGUUUGUCCAUCAGUCUGAGGUUGGUAAGCCAAACUAGAAUUCAACUUCGCAUCCAUAUUCUCAUGAAAACUUUUCCAAAAUCUGGAGGUAAACUGUGAUCCUCUAUCCAAAAUGAUCUUCUUCGGUACAUCGUGUGGAGACACAAUCCGAGCCAUAUAUAACUCUACCAAUUGAGAUACCUUAUAAGUAGUCUUGACCAGAAUGGAAUGAGUCACUUUGGUAAAUUUAUCCAUAAUAACCCAUAUAGAAUCAUAUCCUCUCGGGGUGCGAGGCAAUCCAGUAAUGAAGUCCUUACCAAUUUCUUCCCCUUCCACUUGGGUAUCUUCAGUGGAUGUAAUAGUCCAGCUGGUCUUUGGUGUUAGGCCUUAACUCUUUGACACCCAUCGCACAUAGCCACAUGUGCAGCCACAUCUCUCUUCAAUCCAUACCACCAGUAUUUCUGCUUCAAUUCCUGAUACAUCUUGGUACUACCAGGAUGAAUAGAAUAAUCCAAGUUAUGGGCUUCCUUUAGAAUAGUCUUACGAAGGCUUUCAAUACCAGGAACACAUAUCCUGCCCUUGAACCAUAUUGUGUCUUGUUCAUCUUCCGUAAAUUCCGGACCUCUACCUUUCGUAAUAAGAUCCUUGAUCUCUUGUAUCUUAGCAUCACCAAUCUGUCGUUCUGUGGAUUUCUUGCUCCAAGGUAGGUUCCACAUCAAUAAUGACUCCUUAAGCGUGAGCAUCUAUCCCCAGGUUAAGUCUCCUGAAAUCCUCAACAAUCUCAUCGGGUAGCUGGGCAACAAUAGCUGAAUGAACAUGCUCCUUUCGACUCAAGGCAUCUGCAACCAAAUUUGCCUUGCCCAGGUGAUAGUGAAUCUCCAAAUCAUAAUCCUUAAUAAGCUCCAACCAACGGUGUUGCCUAAGGUUGAGAUCCUUCUGAGUGAAUAUAAACUCUUAUGAUCCGUAUAUACUUGGCACUUGGUCCCCAUGAUAUAAUGUCUCCAUAUCUUAAGCGCAUGCACAACGGCUGCCAAUUCCAAGUCGUGAGUGGGGUAGUUCAAUUCAUGUCUCCGUAACUGAUGAGACGCAUAGGCAAUCACAUGUCCUUCCUGCAUGAGCACACAUCCUAAGCCUUGGCCACAUGCAUCACAAUAGAUAUCAAAUCCUUUCUGUAGGUCUGGCAUAACCAAUACUGGUGGUGACAUCAAUCUCUUCUUCAAUUGAUCAAAGCUGUCUUGGCACUUCUCGUCCCACUUAAAUUCUCUGUCCUUCUCCAGAAGCGAGGUCGUAGGCUUAGCAAUCUUAGAAAAUCCUUCAAUAAAUCUCCGAUAAUAUCCUACUAGUCUCAAGAAACUCUGAAUCUCAGUAACUGUAGUGGGUACUCUCCACUCCAUUAUCUCCUUAACCUUAGUAGGAUCCAUUGAUAUUCCUCCAUUAGAAAUAAUAUGACCAAUAAAUGGCACCUCGCCAAUCCAAAACUCGCACUUGCUAAACUUGGCAUAUAGCUGGUUAUCUCGUAGCUUCUGUAGCACCAUCCUCAGAUGUUCCUCGUGAUCACUAUCACUCUUGGAAUAGAUAAGAAUAUCGUCGAUGAAAACCACGACGAAUCUAUCCAAAUCAUGAACACAUUAUCCUUUAGAUCCAUAAAGUAGGCUAGUGCAUUAGUUAGUCCAAACGACAUAACGGUGAACUCAUAUAAACCAUAUCGGGUCAAGGAAUUCGUCUUGGGAAUAUCCGAUGGCCUAAUAUUCAUUUGAUGGUAACCCGAUCGAAGAUCAAUCUUCGAGAAUACUCUUGCACCUCUCACCUGAUUAAAUAAAUCUUCAAUGUGGGGUAAUGGAUACUUGUUCUUCAUAGUGACACCAUUAAGGGACCUUUAAUCCACACACAUCCCUUGCAAUCCAUCUUUCUUCUGUACAAACAAAACCGAUGCUCUCCAAGGUGAAGACUCGGACAAAUGUACCCAGCCUCUUGUAAUUCCGUUAAUUGCUUCUUAAGUUCCUUUAGUUCUUCUACGGACAUCCUGUAUGGCCGUUUAGAAAUAGGAGUCGUCCCAGGUAAGAGAUCAAUGACCAACUCAACAUCCAUAUCUGGUGGCACCCCUAAUAACUCCUCUGGAAAGACAUCCGGAAGAUCUCUAACUGCACGGAUGUUGUCACCCACAAACUUCUCAUCUUCUAAGAAUGUUGUUAGACUGAUGGUGGUAGUUACUGCAAUUCCAACUUCAAAUAUUUCUCCUUUGGAACUGGUGAGUUCUAUGGUUCCCUUAGCACAGUGUAUAAACUGUCUUUGCCUUUCUUAACCAUGAAAUACCAAGGAUCACGCCUAUAGUGCUCUCUUCUAACACUAUAGGGGUAGCCCAUCUGCGUUAGAAACAUAGGGUGCGAAAGGAAGAAUUGUAGACAAGGCGAGUAAUUAAGAGGAAUAUUACUACGGGGGAUUUAUUAGCUAAGUAGAUUAGUGUGUCACCUACUAACGCUAAUACAUUACCUUAUGGUGGUACAUGCUAAGAUGCCCGUCUAUACUAUUUCAAUCAAUCAAAGAAGCAAAUCAGGCAUUGAUCAUCAGAAAAUCAACCAACAUUUUUAAUAAAGAAAAUAGUUUUAAUUUUGUCUUAGGCUUCCUACCUCUUAAAAAUGUCAUAGGGGUAGGGAUUCCAAGGUGUGAAAUCCAUCUUGACUAAGAGUAGAAAAGGUAAGAAUGAUCAGAGUAGAACAGUAGAAGGUGAGACAGAAUCAAGAUAAGUGUAGAAAGAAUCAGAGUAAGGUAAGUAGUGAAGGGUUUUGUCCAUUUCUAUCUAGGUUUCGUCCUACAGUCAACAUUUCCUCUGAUACCACUUCUGUCACACCCGGCUUUAAGGAACAAAGCCGGGUGCAUCUCAUACAUGCGCCAAGAAGACAACAUAUAUAAUAACAGAGUGUAUAGAGAUAAAUGUCAUAAAACAUCAGAGUAUUUAUUACAUAGCGGAAGACUUAUUACAAAAUAAAAGAUAAAAGUAAAACGAACUAAGGAUCGUCGGCGCCAAUGUCGACUGGGAAAUGCCACCUAGAUCAGAUCGAACUCCUCAGUGUUAGGCGGCUCCUCCUGAACCACCUGCUCUUCUCCUGUGGGGGGGUGUGAGACAGCAAGGGUGAGCUCACACAUGAUCAUAGCUCAACAAGUUGUGGGGAACCGGUGGACAUAAACUCACAAAGGUGUGAGGUCAUGUGAUGUGUAAGGCUAAUCAAUGAUAGGGGUUAAAGCUGAGCAUUGCUUUUAAGUAGUUGGUCAAAAUUUUAUUAGCAGUUACUAAGUAUAAGUGAAUACCAAACCUUAGAUAAAGUAAUUGAACAAAAUUAAUAAUAGACCCAUGCAAUGCAAAUGACAAAAUUGAAUUUAAGUUCCAUAAUUUAAACAUCAGAGAGUCCUGAGCCGCUCAUGACCGCGAGCACGGCUAGUAUACUAGUUUUACACUCUGCAGAGGUUGUACCCUUUACCCACAAGUCAUGCUACCCAUCUGCCAAGGGGUCGCGAAUCCCAUACACCUCUACCUAGGAAGCGCGGCAGGGCAACACUACGAGGCCUUUACAAAGUUCCACUAGCUUCCGAAAACCCGCUACAGUUUAUAAGAAGUUCCAAUGCAGGGUUCUUGUCUGACCGCCAUCGCAGCAAAAUCAACCAAGGACCUCCCUACACUGACCACUCCCCUACUGCCCUUGCCCCUUUCGGGUAAGGUAGUCUUCCACUAGCUUUCCUAAUUAGUCAGCCAAGGGCGUCCCAUUAAACCCUUGUGGUGGCACGUGUUUCUCAAGUUAAGCUCUAUGUUCCAAUUAACAUUAAUGAACUUGACAUGAACAUAAAUAGAAUAACAAGAAUAAUUGGAACAUAGAUAUAAUAAUUGAUUAUCCCAAAACCAUGUAAAGCAAUAGCAAACUACCCAAGUGAUUCAGGGGUAAACAAGGUAAUGAGAUAAACAAAUCUAGGGUGUCCUAUUGGGUCCCAUCAAAAUUAACCUAUGCACGAGUGAAUGAUAAUUAGAGAACAUUAUUGGGUAAAAAGUGGUCAAGGGCACAACUUGCCUGGCACUUGAGAUUCCAGUUACCAGGGUGAUUCUUCAAAUCCUCGUGACCUCACUGCUAGUCGUAGCAAUACAAACAAACAUGGUAUAGACAAAAUUAACAUCACACCAAACAUAAGAAUAUACUGCGUAAUAAUGAUAUACGCGUUGCUACGAGACUAACGCAACUUGAACGGAUCAAAUUGAAGUUAAAACGGAGGAUAUAUGAAUUUCCUAAGGUUUUAUGUAUUUGAUACGAGGUUAAUUAAGAAAUAAAUUUUAAUACCAUUUUCAUGUUAAAACAGAGACACAGGGUGAUAAACAACAUUAUUACAAAAUUAUAGAAACUGAAAUGGAUUAAUUUGGACUACACAUGAAUUUUCUAUGAAUUAAACCAAUUCUAGCAUUUAUUUCUACAUUAAAAAUCCAAUUCUAUAUUUGUUUUCUGAUUUUUCUGGCUCUCUGGACUGGGCGCACUAAUACAGAGAAGUUCAGGGGUCUCGGUGUAAGUUUUCCUAAGACUCAGAGCCCAACUACGUGGACUGCGGGUUAUUUAUUAACGACAUUAGGGCUCUUUUGUAAGAUGGGUCGGCAGCAGUAUGCGCAUGCACCCUGAGCCGUUAGAUUUUCAUCCCACGGCCGCAACUUAACACAACGAAGGGGUACGCCAUGUGGAGCCUCGGAUCCAGAUCCAACGGCAACCAAAAAGGCAUGAGCUGGCAACUAAUCACGCGUGUUGGAUCACGAUCUAACGGCCCACGACUAAGGAAUGAAGGGGUAAUCUAGGCCGCCCGUCAUCAAUCUGACAGCCACAACCCCCUCUUCUACCUUAUGCCGCUACCUUCUCCUGGAAUACGCAAGACUCCACCAACAGCAAGCGACUCGGCCCUGUUGACUCGGAGGAGGGGAAUUCUCACCGUUGAAGGAGGCAGGGGAUGGCCGACGACGAAGCGCGGGUCACGGUGCUGUGAAGCCCUAGCGCAGAUGAAGUUCUUCGGCUGCGGCCCAGUGCUUUGUCCAUGGCGAUGGCAGCCCCUUCUUCCUACACCGCAGCGAUGGCGACGCUGCUCGCAACGCGAUGCGGACCGGCGACGAUGCCCAACUCCGGCGAUUGGUUAUGCCCGCCGUGGACCAAGCCCCCGAGUAACCAUGCAGGCCCCCAAACGACGAGGGCACCGUCGAGUUUGGCCCCGCCCUGCACGGCAAUGGGGAGCCGCGGCAACCCGACCGCGAGUGACAGGAGCGGGCACGCACGAGUUGCGUCAUGGAGGUGCGCGGGGUCACUGCAAGCAGGCGGGGACGGAGGCACGGGUGCGGUGCCCAACGGCGACAGAUGCCGCACCCACUCCCCUACUCAGGUGACCGCGGAAACCCGUUAAUCCGCCCGGUGGCGCACGUCUUUCUCUCUCUAGUACUGGCUAUGGGUCGAGCUUUCUUCGGCGGCAGCGGAGUUCUCCCACCGACGAGGCUACACAAUCAACUGUGGUGCGAGGCAGGGGUUCAUUUGGUGGGCCAAGAUACCGAGCGGCGCGCUACUUAUGCGCCCAGGCCAAUCCGCAUAAGUCGGCACACGAUGUAACGACCAUCCGAUACCCGCGGCGGUGACGGCGAGAUCUCUGCAAUAGAAUCCAGAGCGGUCCUGGGAUCAAGACGUGGCGCGUGCGAGGUCUCGGCGGAAGUGAUAGUCAUGCGGCGUAGAGAACGCGAGUUCUGUUACGGCGAAGGGGAAGGAACUGACAACCUGGGCCCGCCUGCAAGUCGCCACAGCACGCGCAUCUGGAAUGUGGCCCCCACCAUCGGCGCAGAGGGAAGAGGCUGGCACCAACGGCCCACCGGUCGGCACACGGUCUAAUCCGUUCUUUUGGGCUGUGCGCAUUUGCCUGAUGGGCCGAUCACAGAAGAAAUUCGGCCCAGAGCGCAGGUAGUCCCCCUCUCCUUUCUUUUAUUUUCUAUCCUCUUAUUCAUAAAUAUUUUGAAUUCAAAUUUGGAUUUGAAUCUGCUUUUGAGCUCUACCCCUGAGUCAGGUGUCACAUUAAAGCACUAGUAUAGCAAUAAUAUUUUAUUUAUUUAUUUUACAUUUUUUAUCACAUAAAAUUUUCUUUCCUUCCCUUUCUAGGAUUUCUUUUAGAUUCUAAAUUCCCUUUUUGGACUUUAAUAUUUUUCUUGUCACAUUUUUAUUUUAUUUUGUCACAAUAUGCACACAAAAGAAAAUCCUAGCAUGAUGCAUGAUUUAUUUGAGUGUUUUUAUUUAAUUAUUUAUUUGUGGAAGUGAGGUGUUCACAUGAAAUGAUAGAUAUAGAUGACACACAUGUAUAUAAAGGAAUAUAAUCUCUCCUUUUAGAUUUUUAUUACAAAGUGGGUAUUACAAAUCCUACCCCCCUUAACAAGAAUCUCGUCCUCGAGAUUUAGGAAGGACUAGGAAAAAGAUGGGGAAAAUCUAUGUGAAACUCUUCUUCUCUUUCCCAUGAUGCUUCAUCUUCUCCAUGGUGACUCCAUUGCACUUUGCACAUUUUUAUCACCUUAUUCCUUGUAAGUCGAGUAAAAGUGUCAAGAAUCUUGAUCGGAUACCCCGUGUAAGUCAAAUCAUCCUGAACACUGAGCUCUUCCAUUGGUAACUGUUCCUCAAGGACACGGAGACACUUCUUAAGUUGAGACACGUAAAUUACAUUAUACACAUCAGAUAUAUUAUCAGGUAGCUCGAGUUGAUAGGCCAUCUCUCCAACUCGCCUAAAAACUCAUAAUGGUCCAAUAAAGUGAGGGAACAAUUUGCCCUUAACUUUAAAUCUCCUCAUUCCACGAAGUGGUGACACUUUGAGGUACACAUGAUCACCUUCCUCAAACUCCAGUGGUCUUCUUCUAUUAUCAGCGUAGCUCUUUUGCCUGGUCUGAGCUACCCUCAAAUUCUCCCGAAUUAUACGGACUUGUUCCUCUGCUUCUUGAAUAAGUUCAGGCCCAAAGAAAUGUCUUCCUCUAGUCUGGUCCAAAAUAGAGGUGUCCUGCAUUUCCUGCCAUACAGAGCCUCGUACGGUGACAUCUUCAGACUAGCCUGAUAGCUAUUAUUAUAUGAAAACUCAGCAUAAGGUAGACUCUUGUCACAACUACUACCAUGCUGAAGGGCGCAAGCUCUCAACAUGUCUUCCAAUACUUGAUUAGCCCUUUUAGUUUGUCCAUCAGUCUGAGGUUGGUAAGCCAAACUAGAAUUCAACUUCGCAUCCAUAUUCUCAUGAAAACUUUUCCAAAAUCUGAGGUAAACUGUGAUCCUCUAUCCAAAAUGAUCUUCUUCGGUACAUCGUGUGGAGACACAAUCCGAGCCAUAUAUAACUCUACCAAUUGAGAU